UACGUAGGGUGCGAGCGUUAAUCGGAAUUACUGGGCGUAAAGCGUGCGCAGGCGGUUUUGUAAGACAGAGGUGAAAUCCCCGGGCUCAACCUGGGAACUGCCUUUGUGACUGCAAGGCUUGAGUGCGGCAGAGGGGGAUGGAAUUCCGCGUGUAGCAGUGAAAUGCGUAGAUAUCGGGAGGAACACCUGUGGCGAAGGCGGCCCCCUGGUUGGAUACUGACGCUGAUACGCGAAAGCGUGGGGAGCAAACAGG
rnacentral:rRNA from 1 species